rnacentral:lncRNA from 1 species
GGAACACAGGAGGCCUUUGAUAGUGAUGAAGUGAUUGUACCACCUUGCACCUGGAGGCCAUGCAUCUGCAAGAGCGCCAAAGUGAUGCUCAAAUGGCCCAUGUGACAGUCUCAAUUCCGCACAGACCAUUUCAGGACACCCAGGGACCUGGUGGGCCAAGGGAUUGGCUUCCCCUACAGAGCAAGAGUAAUACAGAUUGAAUGGUGGCAUCCAGUUGCCUCAACCUUCAAGGAACUAACUUAAGGCGGCUGCGUUGAUUCCUCCAAGCUUUGAUGGGCACAGACUGUCAAAAGUUAGCCCAUAGUCAUCAAUCCCAUUCCAUAAAGAAAGAACCACAGGAAGUGGGAGGCUUAGGGGAGCAGCAAUCGGAAGAGCUGGAGAGCAGAACUGAAAUGAACUGAAGACGAGUGAGUACCAAAUAGAACCAUUCGGCCAUGAGCAUCAUUAUAAUCAUAAUUGCUUUGCAGUGAACGUUUUUUCCAUCAAAGUUGCCUUUGAAGGUAUAUAAUUUGCAACCAAAGUUCAGACCAUGCUUAGAGUUAUACAGUUGCUAUGAAUCAAUUAAAGCAGCAGAGAUGAAAAGUGGAAAGAAAAAAACAGAAAAUUCUCCAUGUCCUACAAGAUGUGUCAAGUUAAAUGGGCAAAUCUUAAAGCAAGAGAGAUGCAGAAAAAGAGAGGCACUUGAAGUUUGUCCAUUGCCUACCAAAAGACUAAGUUCUGCAUGUGUCUUCUUCCAGUAAAACAUAGUAUAAUAUCAAUGAAUUUGUGUUCCAGUUUAUGUUCUAGGAUUAAUGCCACCUCAAGGAUUCGACUAGUUCUAAGUAAACUGAUUGGGGUUAAACAAAUACUCAGUUCUAAUUAAUGAUUCUUAAGGUUUUAUGUGUGGCAGAGAUGCGGCCCAGCCCAAGAUAAUCCACAGGAUCAGAGUGGCUUCUAGUAAAAGGCAAUAUUGUCAUUACUAUGCAGUUUUCUCCAGCAAGUAAUGAAUUGCUUAGAUCCAGUAAGACACACGCAGCAUGGGGAAGGAGCAUUGGCUUGGAGGCAGAGAAUUCGUGUGUGUUAUGUGUCUUUGGACAAUAGUUAAGGCAUCAGUUCCCUCUUCUGUAAAAUGAGCAUAAUAAUACUUGCAGGGUUAUUGUGAAG